rnacentral:rRNA from 1 species
UACGGGGGGAGCAAGCGUUGUUCGGAUUUACUGGGCGUAAAGGGCGCGUAGGCGGCCAGCACAAGUCAGUUGUGAAAUCUCCGAGCUUAACUCGGAAAGGUCAACUGAUACUGUGCGGCUAGAGUGCGGAAGGGGCAACUGGAAUUCUUGGUGUAGCGGUGAAAUGCGUAGAUAUCAAGAGGAACACCUGCGGCGAAGGCGGGUUGCUGGGCCGACACUGACGCUGAUGCGCGAAAGCUAGGGAGCGAAGCGGG